rnacentral:rRNA from 1 species
GUUGCGGUGGCGAUGUAGGUGGAAGCAGCGGUGGAAGAGGAGGAUGAGGUAGCCAACACUGUUUUAUAUAUAUAUAUAUAUAUAUAUAUAUAUAUAUAUAUAUAUUUUUUUUUUUUUUUUAUUGGGGUAGCCCCAAAAUAUUGGGAGAUAUAAAAAAGACAACUCUGUUCCGCAGAGUAGCUGUUGACAUUAUAGUUGCGCAGGCACUUUGUUGACUCUAGAGAACCUCGGGCCAAUCGCACAUCCCCGUGACGGCGACUUUGCAUUCGGAUGUCAUCCAUAUCAACUUUCGAUGCCAGUUUCUGCGCCUACCAUGGUGACCACGGGUAACGGGGAAUCAGGGUUCCAUUCCGUACAGGGACCCUGAGAAACGGCUACCACAUGCAAGGAAGGCAGCAGGCGUGCAAAUGACCCACUCCUGACGCGGGAAGGUAGUGACGAC